ACGGAAGGCAGCAGUGGGGAAUAUUGGGCAAUGGACGAAAGUCUGACCCAGCGACGCCGCGUGAGGGAAGAAGGUCUUCGGAUUGUAAACCUCUGUUGACAGGGAAGAAGAAAGUGACGGUACCUGUCGAGGAAGCCACGGCUAACUACGUGCCAGCAGCCGCGGUAAUACGUAGGUGGCGAGCGUUAUCCGGAAUUACUGGGUGUAAAGGGUGUGUAGGUGGGACUGCAAGUCAGGUGUGAAAACUAUGAGCUCAACUCAUAGCCUGCACUUGAAACUGCAGUUCUUGAGUAUCGGAGAGGUAAAUGGAAUUCCCAGUGUAGCGGUGAAAUGCGUAGAUAUUGGGAAGAACACCGGAGGCGAAGGCGAUUUACUGGACGAAAACUGACACUGAGACACGAAAGCGUGGGGAGCAAACAGGAUUAGAUACCCUGGUA
rnacentral:rRNA from 1 species